rnacentral:rRNA from 1 species
UACGUAGGGUCCGAGCGUUGUCCGGAAUUAUUGGGCGUAAAGGGCUCGUAGGCGGUUUGUCGCGUCGGGAGUGAAAACACCGGGCUUAACUCGGUGCUUGCUUUCGAUACGGGCAGACUGGAGGUAUGCAGGGGAGAACGGAAUUCCUGGUGUAGCGGUGGAAUGCGCAGAUAUCAGGAGGAACACCGGUGGCGAAGGCGGUUCUCUGGGCAUUACCUGACGCUGAGGAGCGAAAGUGUGGGGAGCGAACAGG